GACGAACGCUGGCGGCGUGCUUAACACAUGCAAGUCGAACGAAGAGCGAUGGAAGCUUGCUUCUAUCAAUCUUAGUGGCGAACGGGUGAGUAACGCGUAAUCAACCUGCCCUUCAGAGGGGGACAACAGUUGGAAACGACUGCUAAUACCGCAUACGAUCUAAUCUCGGCAUCGAGGAUAGAUGAAAGGUGGCCUCUACAUGUAAGCUAUCACUGAAGGAGGGGAUUGCGUCUGAUUAGCUAGUUGGAGGGGUAACGGCCCACCAAGGCGAUGAUCAGUAGCCGGUCUUGGAGGAUGAACGGCCACAUUGGGACUGAGACACGGCCCAGACUCCUACGGGAGGCAGCAGUGGGGGAUCUUCCGCAAUGGACGAAAGUCUGACGGAGCAACGCCGCGUGAGUGAUGACGGCCUUCGGGUUGUAAAGCUCUGUUAAUCGGGACGAAAGGCCUUCUCGCGAAUAGUGAGAAGGAUUGACGGUACCGGAAUAGAAAGCCACGGCUAACUACGUG
rnacentral:rRNA from 1 species